rnacentral:rRNA from 1 species
UACGUAGGGACCAAGCGUUGUUCGGAUUUACUGGGCGUAAAGGGCGCGUAGGCGGCUUGACAAGUCACUUGUGAAAUCUCCGGGCUUAACUCGGAACGGCCAAGUGAAACUGUCAUGCUAGAGUGCAGAAGGGGCAAUCGGAAUUCUUGGUGUAGCGGUGAAAUGCGUAGAUAUCAAGAGGAACACCUGAGGUGAAGACGGGUUGCUGGGCUGACACUGACGCUGAGGCGCGAAAGCCAGGGAAGCAAACGGG